UUUCAAAAUAUAUAAAAUAUACAACUAUUUUUUAUAGAAAAAUAGAUGCUGUUAAUAUCAGGGUCACCAAUUGCUAUCAGUUCUCAUGAUCUGUAUGAUCUGUAUUUCAUUUAUUAUACUACCAAAAGGAUUUGAGAAGAGUUAGAAAUUCAAGAAAUGUCAUAAACACUCAGAAUCCCUACAAUUUUUUACAUAAUUAUGUUUGAU
rnacentral:lncRNA from 1 species